rnacentral:rRNA from 1 species
GUAAACGAUGUCAACUAGUUGUUGGGGAUUCAUUUCCUUAGUAACGUAGCUAACGCGUGAAGUUGACCGCCUGGGGAGUACGGUCGCAAGAUUAAAACUCAAAGGAAUUGACGGGGACCCGCACAAGCGGUGGAUGAUGUGGAUUAAUUCGAUGCAACGCGAAAAACCUUACCUACCCUUGACAUGUACGGAAUCCUGCUGAGAGGUGGGAGUGCUCGAAAGAGAACCGUAACACAGGUGCUGCAUGGCUGUCGUCAGCUCGUGUCGUGAGAUGUUGGGUUAAGUCCCGCAACGAGCGCAACCCUUGUCCUUAGUUGCUACGCAAGAGCACUCUAAGGAGACUGCCGGUGACAAACCGGAGGAAGGUGGGGAUGACGUCAAGUCCUCAUGGCCCUUAUGGGUAGGGCUUCACACGUCAUACAAUGGUCGGUACAGAGGGCUGCCAAACCGCGAGGUGGAGCUAACCCCAGAAAACCGAUCGUAGUCCGGAU